AAUAUAUGUCUCCCUCCUUUUCCCUUUCUGUUUCUUUUGUAAAAUGUCAUUCUGUAAUCAUCUAGAGAGCUGUGUUUUAAAGAGGAAAAAGUAUUUCCAUUAAAAUAUACUCUUGUUUUUCAUUUUAUUUUAGAUUAGGCGGGAAGGUGUUCGUCUUUUCUUGUUAUGGUUGCAAGCUCUUCAAAAUAACUGUAGCAGAGAACAACUCUGGAUGUUUUCAUGCUUAAUCCCUGGGUUCUCGGCACCACAAUCUGAACAUGGACCUCGAACUUUAGAUAAUCUUAUUAAUCCUCCACUCAACCUUCAAGAAACUCAAGUCACUAUAGAGGAAAUCACUCCUCUUGUCCCCCCACAAUCAGGAGAUAAAGGACAAGAAGAUCUCACAAGCUACUUUCUUGAAGCACUUUUAAAAUACAUAGUAAUUCAGGUUAAAAGUUUAGAAUGGAAGAACAAAGAAAACCAAGAAAGGGGAUUUUCAUUUUUGUUUUCACAUUUUAAGAAAUAUUAUUUACCUUAUAUUUUUCCAAACAUCUGCAAGGAGAACAGUUUAUAUCAUCCUGCACUUGAUAUCCCACAGAUAAGACCAAAGCCACAUUAUGUCAUGAUAAAGAAGGAUGCUGAAACCAAUGAAGCAAUCUAUUGUACAAAAGAGCCUUUCAUUAAAGCUCGUGUAAUAGUAAUUCGUUGGCUGGUUUCUUUUUGGCUGGAGCCAAAACCACAUGCCGGACCUCAUAUUCCUGGGAUGGAAGGUGAAGUCUUGCCAAAGAAUAUUCAGAGAGCAGCUGCUAGUUUAGUAUCCAGAGAAGAAAACAGAAAUGAUAAUGGUGAUAAAGGAGACAGAACCACAGAACCAGAGCAGUCUCAUUCCAAUACCAGCACUCUGACAGAACGAGAACCUAGCUCAUCUAGUCUCUGUAGUAUUGAUGAAGAGCAUCUCACAGACAUUGAAAUAGUUCGCAGAGUGUUUUCUUCUAAAAGAAGUAAUGUAAACUUUGUCACAGAGAUAUUUCGUCAGGCAUUUUUAUUACCAAUUUGUGAAGCAGCAGCUAUGAGAAAAGUGGUAAAAGUGUAUCAAGAAUGGAUCCAACAAGAGGAAAAACCUUUGUUUAUGCAAGAACCUGAAGAAAUUAUGAUCACUUCUUCAGAUAUACCUUGCAUUGAAAAUGCCAAAGACCAUGAUAUUUCAGUGGAAGAAGGAGAAAAAAGGGAAGAGGUAAAAUUAUAACAUAUAUAUGUGUGUGUGUGUUAGUGUGUGUUUUUAAGUUUCACAAAAGUGUGGUAAUGUGUUAACACAAGUAUACUUAAGUGAGAUAAAGAUAUCUCAGUAUAUAUGCAGUUUAGG
rnacentral:lncRNA from 1 species